rnacentral:lncRNA from 1 species
CACAGCAUCAUUUUCACCAUACUCUGUCAAGCAAGUCACCAAGGCCCCUCCAGCUUCAAGGAGAGGGACACAGAUUCCAGAUGAGCAUGUGAGAUGACUGAGGAAGAGGCAAUUGCUGAGAUGCGCAAUGAUCUUAACUCUUACAAGCCGACCUCAACUGACCAACGUCGAAGGAAAAGCAGCACUCUUUUUUAAAAUUUUUUUUCUGCUGUUUAUCCUCAUAUUCCCCCAGCCUUUGGAUUCAGACUGGAACUACACUGUUUGCUCUCCUGGGUCUCCAGCUUGCCAACUGCAGCUCUCGAGACUUCUCAGCUUCCAUAAUCAUGUGAGACAACCUCUUAUGAACAAAUACACUUGGAAGACCUCUGAGCUCAACACAGUGAGGACUUAAGCUCAGCCAAGCCUGCAGCUUGAAGCAGAACCACCCAGCUGCUCCCAGCCUGGAUCAGUGCAUCUGUAGUUGGUUGACCUGCAGACCCAUUAUCCUGAGAAUAAAUGCUUAUUGUCAUCUA